rnacentral:rRNA from 1 species
GUUGGGUAGGGGAGCGUUCUGUAAGCCUGCGAAGGUGUACUGUGAGGUAUGCUGGAGGUAUCAGAAGUGCGAAUGCUGACAUAAGUAACGAUAAUGCGGGUGAAAAACCCGCACGCCGGAAGACCAAGGGUUCCUGUCCAACGUUAAUCGGGGCAGGGUGAGUCGACCCCUAAGGCGAGGCUGAAAAGCGUAGUCGAUGGGAAACGGGUUAAUAUUCCCGUACUGGUGGUAACUGCGAUGGGGGAACGGAGAAGGCUAGGUUGUCCGGGCGACGGUCGUCCCGGUUCAAGCAGGUAGGCAGAGUGAUUAGGCAAAUCCGGUCACUUAAUGCUGAGAUGUGAUGACGAACCACUAAGGUGGUGAAGCAAUUGAUGCCCCGCUUCCAGGAAAAGCCUCUAAGCUUCAGGUUACCAACAAUCGUACCCCAAACCGACACAGGUGGUCAGGUAGAGAAUACUCAGGCGCUUGAGAGAACUCGGGUGAAGGAACUAGGCAAAAUGGUGCCGUAACUUCGGGAGAAGGCACGCUGGCGGUAGGUAAAGUCCCUCGCGGACAGAGCUGAAGCCAGUCGAAGAUACCAGCUGGCUGCAACUGUUUAUUAAAAACACAGCACUGUGCAAACACGAAAGUGGACGUAUACGGUGUGACGCCUGCCCGGUGCUGGAAGGUUAAUUGAUGGGGUCAGCCGUAAGGCGAAGCUCCUGAUCGAAGCCCCAGUAAACGGCGGCCGUAACUAUAACGGUCCUAAGGUAGCGAAAUUCCUUGUCGGGUAAGUUCCGACCUGCACGAAUGGCGUAAUGAUGGCCAGGCUGUCUCCACCCGAGACUCAGUGAAAUUGAACUCGCUGUGAAGAUGCAGUGUACCCGCGGCAAGACGGAAAGACCCCGUGAACCUUUACUAUAGCUUGACACUGAACAUUGAGCCUUGAUGUGUAGGAUAGGUGGGAGGCUUUGAAGUGUGGACGCCAGUCUGCAUGGAGCCAACCUUGAAAUACCACCCUUUAACGUUUGAUGUUCUAACCUAGGCCCAUAAACUGGGUCGGGGACCGUGUCUGGUGGGUAGUUUGACUGGGGCGGUCUCCUCCUAAAGAGUAACGGAGGAGCACGAAGGUUGGCUAAGCAUGGUCGGACAUCAUGCGGUUAGUGCAAAGGCAUAAGCCAGCUUGACUGCGAGAGUGACGGCUCGAGCAGGUACGAAAGUAGGUCUUAGUGAUCCGGUGGUUCUGAAUGGAAGGGCCAUCGCUCAACGGAUAAAAGGUACUCCGGGGAUAACAGGCUGAUACCGCCCAAGAGUUCAUAUCGACGGCGGUGUUUGGCACCUCGAUGUCGGCUCAUCACAUCCUGGGGCUGAAGUAGGUCCCAAGGGUAUGGCUGUUCGCCAUUUAAAGUGGUACGCGAGCUGGGUUUAGAACGUCGUGAGACAGUUCGGUCCCUAUCUGCCGUGGGCGUUGGAAGAUUGAGAGGGGUUGCUCCUAGUACGAGAGGACCGGAGUGAACGCACCACUGGUGUUCGGGUUGUCAUGCCAAUGGCAUUGCCCGGUAGCUAAGUGCGGAAGAGAUAACCGCUGAAAGCAUCUAAGCGGGAAACUUGCCUCGAGAUGAGUCUUCCCUGUCGCUUUAAGCGACCUAAAGGAACGUUUAAGACUAAGACGUUGAUAGGCUGGGUGUGUAAGCGUAGCGAUACGUUGAGCUAACCAGUACUAAUGAACCGUGAGGCUUAACCUGACAACACCGAA